GGGGCGCUGGUGAACGUGUCGCCGACCGCAAGAUCGUCGAGGAACAGCUUCUCUGAGGUUCCGGGGUGUUCCAUGUGCCGCGUCCUU
rnacentral:tRNA from 1 species